AGAGUUUGAUCAUGGCUCAGAACGAACGCUGGCGGCAGGCUUAACACAUGCAAGUCGAACGCAUCCUUCGGGGUGAGUGGCAGACGGGUGAGUAACGCGUGGGAACGUGCCCUUCAGUUCGGGAUAACCCAGGGAAACUUGGGCUAAUACCGGAUACGUGCGAGAGCAGAAAGAUUUAUCGCUGAAGGAUCGGCCCGCGUCUGAUUAGCUAGUUGGUGGGGUAAUGGCCCACCAAGGCGACGAUCAGUAGCUGGUCUGAGAGGAUGAUCAGCCACAUUGGGACUGAGACACGGCCCAAACUCCUACGGGAGGCAGCAGUGGGGAAUAUUGGACAAUGGGCGCAAGCCUGAUCCAGCCAUGCCGCGUGAGUGAUGAAGGCCUUAGGGUUGUAAAGCUCUUUCACCCACGACGAUAAUGACGGUAGUGGGAGAAGAAGCCCCGGCUAACUUCGUGCCAGCAGCCGCGGUAAUACGAAGGGGGCUAGCGUUGCUCGGAAUCACUGGGCGUAAAGGGCGCGUAGGCGGCCGAUCAAGUCAGGGGUGAAAGCCUGUGGCUCAACCACAGAAUUGCCUUUGAUACUGUUUGGCUCGAGACCGGAAGAGGUUGGUGGAACUGCGAGUGUAGAGGUGAAAUUCGUAGAUAUUCGCAAGAACACCAGUGGCGAAGGCGGCCAACUGGUCCGGUUCUGACGCUGAGGCGCGAAAGCGUGGGGAGCAAACAGGAUUAGAUACCCUAGUAGUCC
rnacentral:rRNA from 1 species